rnacentral:rRNA from 1 species
GGGGAGUUGGGGGCAGCUAACACAUGCAGUCGAGCGGUAGAGAGAAGCUUGCUUCUCUUGAGAGCGGCGGACGGGUGAGUAAUGCCUAGGAAUCUGCCUGGUAGUGGGGGAUAACGUUCGGAAACGGACGCUAAUACCGCAUACGUCCUACGGGAGAAAGCAGGGGACCUUCGGGCCUUGCGCUAUCAGAUGAGCCUAGGUCGGAUUAGCUAGUUGGUGGGGUAAUGGCUCACCAAGGCGACGAUCCGUAACUGGUCUGAGAGGAUGAUCAGUCACACUGGAACUGAGACACGGUCCAGACUCCUACGGGAGGCAGCAGUGGGGAAUAUUGGACAAUGGGCGAAAGCCUGAUCCAGCCAUGCCGCGUGUGUGAAGAAGGUCUUCGGAUUGUAAAGCACUUUAAGUUGGGAGGAAGGGUUGUAGAUUAAUACUCUGCAAUUUUGACGUUACCGACAGAAUAAGCACCGGCUAACUCUGUGCCAGCAGCCGCGGUAAUACAGAGGGUGCAAGCGUUAAUCGGAAUUACUGGGCGUAAAGCGCGCGUAGGUGGUUAGUUAAGUUGGAUGUGAAAUCCCCGGGCUCAACCUGGGAACUGCAUUCAAAACUGACUGACUAGAGUAUGGUAGAGGGUGGUGGAAUUUCCUGUGUAGCGGUGAAAUGCGUAGAUAUAGGAAGGAACACCAGUGGCGAAGGCGACCACCUGGACUGAUACUGACACUGAGGUGCGAAAGCGUGGGGAGCAAACAGGAUUAGAUACCCUGGUAGUCCACGCCGUAAACGAUGUCAACUAGCCGUUGGGAGCCUUGAGCUCUUAAUGGCGCAGCUAACGCAUUAAGUUGACCGCCUGGGGAGUACGGCCGCAAGGUUAAAACUCAAAUGAAUUGACGGGGGCCCGCACAAUCGGUGGAGCAUGUGGGUUAAUUCGAAGCACCGCGAAAAACCUUACCGGGCCUUGACUUCCAUAGAACUUUCUAAAGAAGAAUUGUGGCCUUCUGGAACUUUGAGACAGGUGCGUAUGUGGUGUCUUCGAUCCGGAUCUGAAGAUGUGUGUGAUAUGCCCGUUACAGAGCCGAACUCUUGGCCUAUUGUUCCAGCCAGUAUUGUUGUGACCUUAUAAGGAAUCUCCUUUUGAUAUCCUGAAAGAUAUUGCGAUUCGAUACAUAUACAGAAGCGCUUAAGAGCCGGGGGG